GAAGAUAAUGAUAAACAACCUUGUGCAAGCGAAGAGCUAAUGGUUAAGCUAAAUUAAUUAAAAUCUAAAUAUUUCGUUCUACCUCUUUUGAAAACGUAGUAAUGCAUUUGUUAUUCUAAGCUUAUGAGACUAAAAGCUUAAAAUCAGUAUUAUAACUACAAACUAUCUAAAUUCCUUAAUUGUAACCUAAUUAGUACGGAUAUCUUACGUAACCUUCAUAAACGGCAGCAGGAAUUCUUAUUGGAUUUUCAUAUAGUGAGGAAACUAAUUUGU